rnacentral:rRNA from 1 species
AUUGAACGCUGGCGGCAUGCUUUACACAUGCAAGUCGAACGGUAACAGGCCGCAAGGUGCUGACGAGUGGCGAACGGGUGAGUAAUGCAUCGGAACGUGCCCAGUCGUGGGGGAUAACUACUCGAAAGAGUAGCUAAUACCGCAUACGAUCUAUGGAUGAAAGCGGGGGACCGUAAGGCCUCGCGCGAUUGGAGCGGCCGAUGUCAGAUUAGGUAGUUGGUGGGGUAAAGGCUCACCAAGCCAACGAUCUGUAGCUGGUCUGAGAGGACGACCAGCCACACUGGGACUGAGACACGGCCCAGACUCCUAAGGGAGGCAGCAGUGGGGAAUGUUGGACAAUGGGCGCAAGCCUGAUCCAGCAAUGCCGCGUGCAGGAAGAAGGCCUUCGGGUUGUAAACUGCUUUUGUACGGAACGAAACGGCUCUGGUUAAUACCCGGGGCUAAUGACGGUACCGUAAGAAUAAGCACCGGCUAACUACGUG